rnacentral:lncRNA from 1 species
UUUUUUUUUUUUUUUUUUUUGGUUUUUUGAGACAGGGUUUCUUUGUAUAGCUUUAGCCCUCCUGGAACUCACUCUGUAAACCAGGCUGGCCUCGAACUCAGAAAUUUGCCUUCCUCUGCCUCCCAAGUGCUGGGAUUAAAGGCAUGUGCCACCCUGCCCGGCCCAGAACACACAUUUGUUAAAGCCGCUUUUCAUUUGCUAGAUAUUUGUGUUUAAAAUAAAACCACACCAUUUGACUUGGGCCCUGAUUGUCCACUGAUUCAGGCAGGUAGUAUUGUGAGGCCCUCCUGUGGACCGGAUACUAUUUCAGACACAAGAGUAUUCUGAAAAGCAAAGGAGACAUGGUUCCUACUCUCCUGGAGUUCACAGUGGUGAGAAGAACAAUACAUGGUGAAAAUCAGUCAAUAAAGACCACUCAGACAGUGGCUUGGCUCUGUUGAGAAAAUAUAUUCAGAGGAUGGGAGAAGACCGUAGACCUAUAUCCCAAGAAGUAAAAUUUGAGCCCAGACCUAAAGGAGAAGGUGAAGGGCAACGUUCAAAGAACCAGGGUAGAAACUUCCAAUCAGAGGCAGCACCUAAAGGUGCCAAGACCAUUCAAGAGGAUUGUUGAAGAGAACCAACUCGUAAGGCAAGAUUUCGGCAGCAGCUAACAGUAUUGAACACUCUUCCAGAGAACCAUGGUUGAUUCCCAGCAGCCAUAAGGUGCCAAAAUCCACCUGAAAAGCCAGCUCCUGGGUUUCUGAUGCCCUUUCCUGGACUCUGAAGUCAGGUCAUAUGUGUGACAUACUGACAUACGUGUACCAAUGAAACCAAACAACAACAACAAAACAACAAAGGCAAGCCAGGCAGCGAGUGGUGGUACACACCUUUUAUCUCAGCACUGCGGAAGCAAAGGCAGGUGGGUCUCUGAGGUUGGGGCUACUCUGGUCUGUAGCGUUCCAGCACACCCAAGGCUACGCUGAGAAACCCUGCCCCACCCGCUCCAAUAAAUAAAAUAAAAGGUUAACUUCACCCGAUGACCUACUUUCUUCUAACCUAGAAACUGACCCACCAGCCUGGAGACUGGCUUCAGGGCUUCAGAUGGCCUACAGCAACUUACUUACAGACUUAAUGGCAUUUCAUCUAUGUUUCAAUUUCAACAUGUUUGCAUUUUCUGAAAGCAUUAUCAAUCAUUAUGUUUUAAAUUAAGAGACUUGUAAAAGCAGUGACAGUCAGGGACAAAAGGACCGUGAUGUUACUCAUCACAGUGCGACAGCUUGCUCCAGUCGCUCUUAGCUUAAACUGGCAGCUGCUGCUGUCUUUGGUGUUGUUAGAUGACUGGUAACAGUGACCUAUAUAUACAGAGUUAAACACUCAGUGCAUUAAGAAAGGCUGGUGUCAGGGAGACAGGUGCUCAGCAUUAAUAGUGAAUAGACAGUCUCCACAUUGUUGACAGAAGACCCCAAACUCUCAGGGCACUCAUCAUCAUGGGCAUUUAUUUUCUGCCUCAAGUCAAAGGAUGAAAUAUAUCAGGUUUAAAGGACAUAGUGGCGACAGACACAGCACAGAACAAUAGGGUAACUUGUACGGGACAGUUUUGAGUGUUGUUUUGAUUUCCUUAAAAGGAUUAUCUGGUAAAUGAUUAAAAUUGGACAUACUUCAGUGUGACUGACAUAUGCAGUACCUAAGAAAAUUUAAAAAGAUGAUCUAUUCACACUGCAUAUAAGUGAAAACAAUAUACACAGACAUAUUAAGGCAUUUCCACCGCAUUCCAUUGCUCAUUCCCACUAGGGUAGACUCCUGUUAGGUGUGGACUUUGGAGGGGUAUCUGUCUAUCUCUUAGUAUGUUACACAACAGGAGUACAUACUUUUCUUUUAUAUUUGUUUAUUUGUUCUAUGUACUUACGUGUUUUGCCUACAUGUAUGUAGGUGCACUGUGUGUGUGUGCCUCGUGCCCAUGGAGGUCAGUAGAGGAUAUCAGACCCCCUGGAACUGAAACUAGAGUGACAUAUGACUGUGAGCUGUCAUGUGGAUACCCAACCUAGCUCCACUACAAGAGCAAAAAGCCAUUGCUUCAGUCCCAGAAGCACAUAUACAAGUAUGUGUUCCUGUAAACUGAAAGCAUAGUGCUGUCUAUGAGAUUCUCCCAUUAACAAACCGAGUGCAUCUUUUCAGCUAUCAGAGCACAGAAAAUCCCUAUGUUCUUUCACACGUGCCCGGUACCAAUUAUGUGGACAUACCAUUACCUGUAAACACACUCCUCUAUUAUAAAUCGAUAUAUAUUCUAAUUCUAAGAUUUUGGUAUGCAGACUGUGCAGUUGUGAGUAAGGUUCUAUAUUGCAUCCUUUUGUACCAGGGCAAUUAUAUCUGCAAAAUAAGUUUUCCAGAGUGGAAUUUUUGUAUAAACUAAAAAUUAUCUAUUUGCUAUUGGGGUAGUGACAUGGGGUGGGGUGUGCUAUGGUGGCCAUUAUUGGCAAUAAUGCCUGAGGACACCUACCUCUCUGAUGAACACACCCUCCAUGCCUGGGAAUGCCUACCUCUCUGAUGAACACAUCCUCCAUGCCUGGGAAUGCCUACCUCUCUGAUGAACACAUCCUCCCACUUUCAAAGUUCUCAGUUGACCAAAAUGUCUCAAUGAGUUGUUAUUUUGCAGUUUUUGGAUCAUGAAUUGGUACGAAGCAUCUUUUUGUGUAUUUGAAUGGAAUUUCUUUCUAUUCCAUUCAUAUUUCUUCUUUAUUUUUAUUAUGGUGGUUUACUUACAGUGUGAUUUUUGAUUAGGGAGAUUAGCUUUCUGUAAUUAUAAAUAACAUUUUUCUCACAGUUUUCAUUAAUUACCUUUUGACUUUUUACCUGUAGAACAUUUUUGUUUGGUAGGAGGACUCUUUAUUGUAGUGUUAAUCAAUUUUAUAUGGCUUGUGAAUUUUCUUCUAAAACUUGAAGGCUUUUAUUUAAUUUACCUUUUCUUUGUCUUGAGACAGGGUACUGCUAUAUAUUCCAAGCUGGUCUCUUGUCUGGGACUGGUGAGUCCUGUGGUUACUUGCCUGCUCAUGCACAGCUGGCAUAAGAUGUAAAUUUUCCAUCCAUCUGCAGUUUAUCCUCUGUACCAAGGGAGGUGUCUUUGUAUAUUGUUUGUUUCCUAGAAGGCUGACUGCCAUUCCUACACAAUUUUCAGAAGGUUUUAUUUUGCCUCUUCUGAUUACACUUUCCAUCUUCAUUACAUGCCACAUAUACAUGAAUGUAUUCAUGCAGAGAUACCACACUGUUUUAAUUAUUGAGACUUAAAAAUAAGUUUUGCAUCCAACUACUCUGGUUCCUUUGAGUAAUUCUAUAUAAUAUAAAUUUAUCUGCUGUGAGUAGAAAUAGAGCUGACUGCCCAAAGCCAAAUGUGUGGUUUCUGAGAUCAGAGUCACAGAGGGUCCAUGAGAGCAACCAUCCCCUUCCAUUUACAUUCUCAGCAAAGCCACACCCUUCUUCACCCCACAGGUCUCAUCAUUAGAAUUGAUGUUUGUGGAAAUGGUAAGCUUCCUCCUCCUUCCAUUGUGCUUUCCAGGGCCUCCCAGAUUCCCAGACAUGAGGAGCCCUUUGUCUGCAUUCCAAACUACUGAUCCAAAUCCUAAAUGUUUUUCUAGAGACAUAUAAUCAUUAACUUUUUAUAGAGUCAAUAUAGAAAUACAUGUGCCCAAAAACGGAAUGUAAGCCAAUUAAACAAACAACAACAACAAAAAGCAAUGAGGGGGAAAGGAGCAUUUUCCAGGCUUUUAUGGUUGUUUCUUGGCUCCCAGAAAGGCAUUGAAUAUCUGUCUCCUGAGUAGCUUCAGUCCAUGGCCAUUCCACCUGCAGGCCGAGAGGACAGGUGACCUCCUAGGCUCAGAGAACAGGGCAGAAGAGAAGGUAGAAAGAAUCUAAGAUAUGGAGUAUGGGGUAGACUCUAUGAGGUGCUGCUUGCCAGAAGUGACAUGGCUAUCACACUCGUGAACUCAUGGCAGCUGUGGUUACUACCCAAGAUUGUGCAGCAUCAAGCCAUUUAAAACUUAACAUAGAUAGGAGUGGAGCUCUCCAGGUUACAGCCUUUACUGAAGAGGAGCUAUUGGCUGUUGAUAGCCUCUGGAGACAGAAAAUAAUUCUGGGGAUGUGGUAGGUUUCUCAUAGUCAACUGCAUGCUCCCACAUUCAUGUACACGUGGACGGCACUAAGACGAAGUGAGGAGCAGGACAUGUUUGGUAGGAUAUGGGGGAAUUAAAUGACGUAAAUGGAGCUUUGUAUAAUUAUAUUUCAUUGCAAACAUGGAUGAAAUUAUUAAGAAUACAGC